rfam:Oryza rufipogon genomic scaffold, chr11
UUUAAUCGCAACCAUAAGUUUCUGUAUCCAACUUUGAUUAUCCGUCUUAUUAAAAUUUUUUUAUGAUUAAUAUUUUUUAGAUGAUAAAACAUGAAUAGUACCUUAUGCGUAACUUAUUUUUCUAAUUUUUUUUAAAAAAUUAAAUAAGACAAAUGUUUAAAGUUGGACAUGAAAACUUAUAGCUGCACUUAAA